rnacentral:rRNA from 1 species
UUUGGUUAAGAGGGCGCGGUCGGCCGUUUGGUCUGCCUGCGUUGUCUUGACUUCCUGAUGAGGACAUGCUCUUGGUUAACGCUGAGACAUGGAGUCAUCGUGGUUACUUUGAAAAAAUUAGAGUGUUCAAAGCGUGCUUACGCUUGUAAUAUAUUAGCCUGUAAUAACACUAUAGGACUCCUUGUCCUAUCUCGUUGUUCUCGGUAUGGUAGUAAUGAUUAAGAGGAACAGGCGGGGGCAUUCGUAUUUCAUUGUCAUAGGUGAAAUUCUUU